UACGAAGGGGGCUAGCGUUGUUCGGAAUUACUGGGCGUAAAGCGCACGUAGGCGGAUUUGUAAGUCAGGGGGGAAAUCCCGGGGCUCAACCUCGGAACUGCCUUUGAUACUGCAAGUCUUGAGUCCGGAAGAGGUGAGUGGAAUUCCUAGUGUAGAGGUGAAAUUCGUAGAUAUUAGGAAGAACACCAGUGGCGAAGGCGGCUCACUGGUCCGGUACUGACGCUGAGGUGCGAAAGCGUGGGGAGCAAACAGG
rnacentral:rRNA from 1 species